GUGGAUUAGAUACCCCGGUAGUCCUGGCCCUAAACGGUGCGCGUUUGCUGUGAGCGGAAUCGACCCUGCUCGUGGCGGAGUUAACACGUUAAACGCGCCGCCUGGGAAGUACGGCCGCAAGGUUAAAACUCAAAGAAAUUGACGGGGGCCUGCACAAGCGGUGGAGUAUGUGGCUCAAUUCGAUGCAACGCGAAGAACCUUACCUGGCCUUGACAUGCAAGUAGUAGAAGGAUGAAAGUCUGACGAUCCCGCAAGGGAAGCUUGCACAGGUGCUGCACGGCCGUCGACAGCU
rnacentral:rRNA from 1 species